rnacentral:tRNA from 1 species
GCCCCCUUAGCUCAGGGGAUAGAGCGUCUGCCUCCGGAGCAGAAAGCCGCAGGUUCGAAUCCUGUAGGGGGCA